AUGAACGCUGGCGGCGUGCCUAAUACCUGCAAGUCGAGCGAACAGACGAGGAGCUUGCUCCUCUGACGUUAGCGGCGGACGGGUGAGUAACACGUGGAUAACCUACCUAUAAGACUGGGAUAACUUCGGGAAACCGGAGCUAAUACCGGAUAAUAUAUUGAACCGCAUGGUUCAAUAGUGAAAGACGGUUUUGCUGUCACUUAUAGAUGGAUCCGCGCCGCAUUAGCUAGUUGGUAAGGUAACGGCUUACCAAGGCAACGAUGCGUAGCCGACCUGAGAGGGUGAUCGGCCACACUGGAACUGAGACACGGUCCAGACUCCUACGGGAGGCAGCAGUAGGGAAUCUUCCGCAAUGGGCGAAAGCCUGACGGAGCAACGCCGCGUGAGUGAUGAAGGUCUUCGGAUCGUAAAACUCUGUUAUUAGGGAAGAGCAAAUGUGUAAGUAACUAUGCACGUCUUGACGGUACCUAAUCAGAAAGCCACGGCUAACUACGUG
rnacentral:rRNA from 1 species